rnacentral:rRNA from 1 species
GAUGAACGCUGGCGGCGUGCCUAAUACAUGCAAGUCGAGCGAACAGACGAGGAGCUUGCUCCUUUGACGUUAGCGGCGGACGGGUGAGUAACACGUGGAUAACCUACCUAUAAGACUGGGAUAACUUCGGGAAACCGGAGCUAAUACCGGAUAACAUGUUGAACCGCAUGGUUCAACAGUGAAAGACGGUCUUGCUGUCACCUAUAGAUGGAUCCGCGCCGCAUUAGCUAGUUGGUAAGGUAACGGCUUACCAAGGCAACGAUGCGUAGCCGACCUGAGAGGGUGAUCGGCCACACUGGAACUGAGACACGGUCCAGACUCCUACGGGAGGCAGCAGUAGGGAAUCUUCCGCAAUGGGCGAAAGCCUGACGGAGCAACGCCGCGUGAGUGAAGAAGGUCUUCGGAUCGUAAAACUCUGUUAUUAGGGAAGAACAAAUGUGUAAGUAACUAUGCACGUCUUGACGGUACCUAAUCAGAAAGCCACGGCUAACUACGUG